rnacentral:rRNA from 1 species
GUCCACGCCCUAAACGAUGUGUGCUGGGCGUUGGGGGGCUUGCCCCUCGGUGCCGGAGCUAACGCGGUAAGCACACCGCCUGGGGAGUACGGCCGCAAGGUUAAAACUCAAAGGAAUUGACGGGGGCCCGCACAAGCGGUGGAGCAUGUGGUUUAAUUCGACGCAACGCGCAGAACCUUACCAGCCCUUGACAUGGCGGCAAAAGUCGGGCGCGAGCUCGGGGUUCCUUCGGGAGGCCGUCACAGGUGCUGCAUGGCUGUCGU